rnacentral:lncRNA from 1 species
GGGAGGCGAGGUGGCACGCCGCGAGGAGCAGCACGGCCACCAGCGCCAGCACCUUGGCGCUCCUCACGCUGAAGUAGUGGUUGAUCUCCCGCUUGCCCAGGAGGUAAUAGAGAUAAAGAGGACGGGAAAAGGAGACACAAUGGAGCAGCCAUAAUAGUAGGAGGAGCAGUUUUGAGGCAUCCUGAAAAUGCAUUCCCAGGACAUUGUCCCAGGCUGCAGAGGAAUUUGGUUCCUGAGUCUCCUCACACAUUCAGAAAAUAUUGCAUAUUCUAUGUUAUAGAAACAAUAAGUGCAAAAAUAUAUUUAAAAAGAGCUCAUACAAGAGAGGAGAUCGAGGAGACCCAAUGCAAUGUGACUUCUUGUCAAGCCCAGACAACUUGCUACCCUGUUCUCUCAAGAGAAGGAUAAACACAUGGGAAUGACACAAGUCUACCCACUUGGGAUCCUAUUGAUUUUCACAUGCUAUUUUCCCUUCUGCUUGCCUCCCCCACCGAUUUCUCACUCCCUGCUAUUUCUUUCACUGCCAGCAUGGCAGAGAAAAAAAAAUGUGGUUAUCGGCCCAUGAUGGUGGAUAUUGUACAUAUUGGUACUUUGAAUAAGGUUUUCUAUUUCUGUU